GACAAGACAUCUGUUACUCCACUGAUCACCAGGAUAGAUGUGGCACAUCUGGCUGGCCAAGUGGGCGACCC
rnacentral:sRNA from 1 species